CCGCCCCUCUCUCUCGUGAACCCCACCCAACCCCUCGUGCCCUCCUCUCUCUCUCUCUCGAACCCUAGCGCUCCACUCCUCCCUGGCCGCCGCCACCUCCGGCGCCCUCUGUCCGGCGAGAUCCAUAUGGAUCGAUCCCCUCCAACCCAUGACUCCACGACUCCUCCUCCUCCUCUCUGGAUCGAUCACCCCCAACCCAUGACUCCUCCUCUCUGGAUCGAUCCGCAACCGCUUCCAACCCAGCCGCCGCCGCAAACCUCCCCCAAUCCCGGCCUCCUCCACGCCGAUUCGAGCGACACUCCCCACUUCCAGACCAAACUCUAGCCUGAGACCCCUUCCUCCUCGAUGGCCAACCCCUCCAUGGCGGCCGGCGGCGGGGUGCCGUUGGCGGAGGGGGUCCGCGCCGUCAGGGCCCAGAUCCGCAACCGCUUCCGCGUGGCGCCCGUCGACCGCGUGGCUGUGGCGUUGGCGGCGGCGAGCCAGUCCCUGAGAAACCGCGAGAUCCUCGACGCUGUGGGCACCACCGCGGCGGCGCUAAGCACCACCGAUGCCGAUGGGGUCCAACAAGGCGGACAAGCCGCUGCGGCGGAUCGGCGCGUUGUUCGAGCAGCUUGCGGCCGUCGCCAAGCAGCAGCAGCAGACCGCGAUGGCGGCGGGGGACUUCUCGCGCGCCUGCUCCAACGUCUCCGUCCUCUUCUGCUACCUCGGCAUCGCCUUCAAGUUUGCGGAGAUGGACUACGUAGCCAAGGCAAGCGGCCACUCCUCCGCCCCCCUCUCCUCCCCCGCUACCUGCUCUGCUAUUCGGUAUGCUACUUCAUUGUGCUUGUACUGUAUGUGGUAAAAUUUCUGGUGAUUCCUUCCCGGGACAUUGGUUAGUUGUGUGAAGCUGAGAGGUUUGGGAUGAAAUGACCCCAAAAUUCUCAACCGGAUCGAGUUGGUGAGUUCUAUUUGAGUUUACUUUUGAUUGUUAUACGCUGCAUAGCUGCGUGCCAUCCACGUGGGAAGGUAAUUGUUUUGAUCCACUUUAGUUUGAGGCUAGGAGGUUUGGGUGAAAUGAUCUGUCGAAUUCCGAACUGGAUCAAGCAGCAAUAAUUGGUUGUUUCAUCAGGAUCGGACUGUCUAAUUCUGCUACUGUGUGCUAUGCUUGUUGAGGUUGUAUGCUUCAGGUGUAGAAUAUCCUACCCACUUCUGCACUUGAGUCGCCGGAGAACCAUGCACUACUAAGCAAUGCAGUAGAAUGGCACACUGAAGCAUACACUACUUUAUUGUACACUUAUGCUAGUUGUUACUGAAAUUUGCCCUGUCAAUUCCUUACUGAAAUUUCCUCCUGUUGAAUUCUUAAUGAAAUUGUAAGCUUUGUUACUGAAUUACAGAAGUAUCAUUGCUUGUUCAAGAACAAAUGUUUGACUGUAUCUCCAAUUCACUCAAUCGUUCUUUGUGAUUACAGUUUUGACUGUAUCUCCAGCAUUGACAAAUACCAUUGCUUGUUCAAAUUUAUACUGGAGUUGCUUGUUCAACACUGAUAAAAUAUCAUUGCUUGUUUAAGGACUCCACUAUACUGAACAAAUGUAUUAAUCCAGUAUAAAUCUCCAAGGAUUAUGUGCAAGCAAUUUCUAGGAUCAGUAUUCAGUUUAGAUGCAGAUCCAGUCAACAUUAGGGAUCAAUAUUCAGUUAACACUAGGAUCAAUACUCAGUGUAACAAUAUUCAGUUAACAGUAUUCUUCUUCCAGGCCAUCGGGGGAGCUCUGGUGGCAGCAUAAGGAGCAGAGCAGCAGCACUGGCACGGGCUUAUAUAUUGUUGGCUUGUAGCAUAAAUUGUUGGCACGACAGCAUAAAUCGUUCAGCGUCUUGACGCACUAAUGCAAUCGUACUGACAAUUGGUCGCGGCGACCACCAAGAAGACACCCAACUCCCGCACCCCGAACUACCCUACCCGAGCCUGCCGUCGCAGCUGCUGUGUCAAGUCCACAGCAUCACCAUGCAUGCUGACAAGGACAAUGACGAGGUCUACGCACAGAUGACUCUGCAACCAAUAAACUCUAAGUACUGUCGGAAACUGAGCUUGGUGAAGAUAUUCAGAACAUGCUGAACUGCGUUUUCUCUACGUGUGCUUUUAUCGGUUUGCAUGCUGCAUGUUUGAUGUUUGGCCUGAGCUGGGGACGAAAUGGUACUGAAUGCCUAAAAGUAAAGUUAACAGUGUUCAGUUUAAGUGUACAUUUCGAGAUCAGUGCCAGUGUUUAUAAACGCUCAAAAUCUGUACAGUAUUUCUUAGAUUAACAAGUGCUUACUGUAUAAUUUAGGAAAGUUUUAAUAAUACUACAGCAGAUGCUAAUUAAAUCAGGAAGUGAAGCACUACCAAACGUACCGUAUACAAUGUUCAGUUCAAGUUUAAUUUUCAGUUUAGUGCCAGAGUUUAUCAUCAACCCAAAAAAAAUAUCUGAUUUUCACAUUGACGAGUACUACUGCUUACUUCUCCCAUUCCUUACUUGAAGACUCUGUUUUGAACCGAGCCUUGCAGCAAGGAGGGAAUGGCUGCGUCUGUUUUGUGCUUGGACGCCUUCUCCUAGUUGUGCUAAAAUUGAGGUGCCUGUUUAAUUAACAAGCACCUUUCAUCCCCACUGUGACAGUAAUGCAUUGAGGUGCCUCUGGACUUUAGUGUAUUAGGUUGCCAGGAGUAGUAAAACUUAGUGUUGUAUUGAGGAUUGAGGGUGGCUGGGCUUAUAAGUUAAUCAUCAGCGUGAAUGCUUUGUUUGUCUGAUCCUCACAAGUUAAUGCUUCGCUCGUCUGGGUGUGUGAUAAUGCCAUUUGUCUUGUGCAAUCAGAUUAAAUUUCUGUUUGUUAUGGUAAUAUAAAAAAUAUUCGUGCUGUCAAAAUUUUCACAGUGCGUGCCUUUCAUUUCUUUAGUUUGAUUGUUUCCCUUGUAUUCAAUAUGCUUUUAGUGGCUGAUCCUUCCAUUUUUGUUGUGGCAUCUUUAUUUUCACAGGUGUUGUGUGUUCUAGAAGAUGGAAGAGGAAGAAAAUCUAUUUUUGUUGAACUAAAUUUUCUGUAUUAUGAUUUGUUGUAUGUAUUAUUUGAUAGUUUUGUAUAGAACAAGUGAUACUAUUUUGUAGGGUUUUAUGGCCUGUGAUGUAAACAUAUUUAGUGCUGAAAUAUGAAAUUAUUUGCAAAAUUUGUCGAAAA